rnacentral:rRNA from 1 species
GCCUUUCGAAAGAAAGAUUAAUACCCGAUAGCAUAAUGAUUCCGCAUGGUUUCAUUAUUAAAGGAUUCCGGUAAAGGAUGGGGAUGCGUUCCAUUAGGUUGUUGGUGAGAUAACGGCUCACCAAGCCUUCGAUGGAUAGGGGUUCUGAGAGGAAGGUCCCCCACAUUGGAACUGAGACACGGUCCAAACUCCUACGGGAGGCAGCAGUGAGGAAUAUUGGUCAAUGGGCGUUAGCCUGAACCAGCCAAGUAGCGUGAAGGAUGAAGGCUCUAUGGGUCGUAAACUUCUUUUAUAUAAGAAUAAAGUGCAGUAUGUAUACUGUUUUGUAUGUAUUAUAUGAAUAAGGAUCGGCUAACUCCGUGCCAGCAGCCGCGGUAAUACGGAGGAUCCGAGCGUUAUCCGGAUUUAUUGGGUUUAAAGGGAGCGUAGGUGGACUGGUAAGUCAGUUGUGAAAGUUUGCGGCUCAACCGUAAAAUUGCAGUUGAUACUGUCAGUCUUGAGUACAGUAGAGGUGGGCGGAAUUCGUGGUGUAGCGGUGAAAUGCU